GACGAAGUACGGAACGGUGUAGCAAGUACACAGUGGCGGAAGGGUGAGGAACACGUGAAUAAUCUGCCCUCAAGUUGGGAAUAACUUUCCGAAAGGAAAGCUAAUACCGAAUGUGGUGUUUUAUCGCAUGAUAGGACAACUAAAGAUUUAUCGCUUGAGGAUGAGUUCGCGUCCCAUUAGCUAGUUGGCGGGUAACGGCCCACCAAGGCAGAGAUGGGUAGCUGGUCUGAGAGGAUGAUCAGCCACACUGGGACUGAGACACUGCCCAGACUCCUACGGGAGGCUGCAGUCGAGAAUCUUUUGCAAUGCGCGAAAGCGUGACAAAGCAAUGCCGCGUGCCGGAUGAAGGUCUUCGGAUUGUAAACGGCUGUCACUCGGGACGAAAAUGACGGUACCGAGGGAGGAAGCCACGGCUAACUACGUGCCAGCCGCCGC
rnacentral:rRNA from 1 species